GCAAGUGAAUUCGUUCGAUACAGGGAGGUGGUGGUGAUGGUGGUGGUGGUGGAGGGGAACUGAUCAUUUUGCGAUAUCUAUGUUAUUUUUCGUCAUGUCCACACAGAAGCCAGUCGAGUGGGUUACCGCUCUUAUGAUUCGGUUUGAAGAACAGCUGCCAUGUCGCACCGGGCCGCAGACACAGCACUCAAAGUUCAACGUGGAGCAGAACAAGGACUGCCUGGUGCGAAUUAGUCGUUACAAGUUCUCCCUCGUUAUCUCUGGCCUGUACAAGAUACUGCAGAAGGUCAACGACAUGCGUCCGCACGGCCCAGACUUUGAGAAGAAUUACUACGAGAGCCUUCUGAUAGUGCUGGACACGCUGGAAAAGUGCUUGUCGUCCCAGCCCAAGGACACCACCCGCGACGAGGCCAUGAAUGUGAAGAUGCUGCUACGGGAGACACUGCAGUUCAUUGACCUCCCAGCGGAGAACAACAUGGUGGUGCAGGUGAAGGCUUUGGCAUCGAAGGUCCUGUUUGCUCUCAGCCUCAAUAAUUUCUCGGUGGUGUUCAGCAGGAUCUCUGUCAGGCUGCAGGAGCUAAGCAUGAGUAAUACAGAGGAGAGCCCAGACUUCACAGACAUUGAGUUGAUCCAGCACAUCAACAUCGACGUCAACAGACUCGUCAAACUGCUCACUGAGACCAUUCAAAAAUUUCGCAGUCUGAGCAAGAAGGCACAGAUUGUAUUGAUGUCCUCUAUGGAGAAAGCUAUAUGGAAUUGGAUGGACACCUACCCCAACGAAUUUGCCGACCUGCAGAAAAGAAGGAACGACGAGCUGGCCAAGUGUUGUGAGGCCAUGUUUGAGCACCUGGACAGCUUUGCCGAGAACAACAAGAAGAGGGCAGUUGUCUGGCCGCUUCAGAUCAUGCUGCUUGUGCUGUGCCCGAAAGUUCUAGAGGAGAUUGUGAACGCAGAUGCGGGCGCCCCCUGUUCCCAGCGUCAUUUUAAGAAGAAGCAGUUUAUUGACCAGCUGAAGAAGGCUCUGAUACCUCACAACACCAGUAGACACCUGACUGAAGCUGCGGCAGUCACCUGUGUGAAGCUGUGCAAGAUUGCCACGUAUAUAAAUAUCAACGACUCCAAUAAUGUUGUGUUUGCGUUGGUCACCAGUGUUAUCAGCGAACUCAAGAACCUGCUGUUCAACAUAGUGAAGCCGUUUACGCGAGUGCAGGCGUACAUCUUCCAAGACGUGGACCUUAUGAUUGACUGCUUCGUGUCGCUGUUCCGCAUCCUGCCCCACAACAACGAGGCACUCAAGGUCUGCCUCAACCCUAACUCUCCCCCCACCUACCAUUUUGUCCUCGUCAGCUCCCUCUACAGGAUCGUGACCCAGCCCAGGUUACCAUGGUGGCCUCAAAUUGACAUUGUGUACAGCAAGUCAAGCGAAUUAAGGUCAAUGUUUACUGACACGCUGAACAAGGUGACCCAGGGCUGCAUCCCACAGACACCCCUCAGGAUGAUACAGGGCUUCACUCUCAAGUUUAAGGAGAAGCCAUCCGACAAACCUUCCGAUGAAUCUCCAUCCUACAAGAAUCUCCUGCUGUGGAUGGUUCGGCUCAUCCACGCUGAUCCCAUGCUUAUGUUGAACAACCAGGGCAAGGCAGGGCACGAGAUCCAGAGCUCCACCCUAGAGCUGAUCAACGGCCUGGUGUCCCUGGUGCACAACGCGUCCAUGCCCGACGUGGCUGCCGAGGCGAUGGAGGCCCUGCUUGUCCUCCACCAACCAGAGAAGAUAGAAAUGUGGAACCCAGAGGCACCCAUUAACACCUUCUGGGAUGUCAGUUCGCAGGUGCUGUUCUCCAUCUCGCAGAAACUCGUCCAGCACCACAUUGCAAAUUACUCGGAGAUUUUAAAGUGGCUUAGAGAAAUUUUAGUGUGCAGAAACGCCUUCCUUCUACGACACAAAGAUUACGCCAACUGCAACAUUGGCGCGUACACGGCCAUCUGCAAACAGGCGCACAUCAAGCUGGAGGUGGUGUUUUUGGUGUACCUGUGGAGCAUUGACAUCGACGCAGUGCUGGUGGCGAUGUCCUGCUUUGCCCUGCUGUGUGAGGAGGCUGACAUUCGCUGCGUUUGGGAUGAGGUCACUGCGACUGUCACGUACCUCCUGCCCAAUUACCACGUCUAUCAGGAACUGGCUGCUGCUUCUACUAUUCUGACCACUGCGUCUCUGGAGUCCAGGAUUUACAGUCAACAGCAGCAGGGCCGGGCAGCUCUGCAGAAACGUAUCAUGGCACUGCUCAGAAAAAUUGAACGUUGGACUCCUGGCUGUCUGCAGGCCUGGGAGGACACCUUUAUCAACUGGGAGUCGUCCACGAAGAUGCUUGUGUCAUAUCCGAAGGCUAAGCUGGAGGAGGGGCAGAUAUCGGACAGUUUUCACCGGACUGUGUGCAAACGGCGGCCGUCACACCAGAGCACUGAGCACGAGAUGGAGCAGAUACAGGAUCAGAUUAAUGAAUGGGCGAACAUGACUGGGUUCCUGUGUGCCCUGGGCGGUGUCUGUCUGCUGGGGAAAUCGCCUUCGAGGGUCCAAGGGAUCACAUCCGGCUUAAUGAGUGAUGUUCGUAAGCCAGCUUCCCUUCCCAGCGCCAGCCAAGACAUGCAGUACUGUCCGGUGACGCAGUUUGUGGGGCACCUUCUCAAGCUGCUGGUGUGUCACAAUGAAAAGUUUGGCACGCAGAUUCAAAAACAUGUUAAGGAGUUGGUUGGUCACGAGAUGUCGCCUCUGCUGUACCCAAUCCUCUUUGACCAGACCAAGGUGAUCGUGGACAAGUUCUUCGAUCAGCAGGGACAGGUGAUAGUGAGCGACGUAAACACGCAGUUCAUCGAGCACAUCAUAUUUAUCAUGAAGAACGUGCUGGAGAACAAGACAGAACACCCCUCGGAACAUCUCGGCGUCACCUCUAUUGAACCAAUGAUGCUGGCCAUUGUGAGGUACGUGCGGCACCUGGACAUCACGGUGUACACGCUGCACAUCAAGACCAAGCUGUGCCAGUUGGUGGAGGUGAUGAUGCAGCGCCGGGAUGACCUCGCCUUCCGUCAGGAGAUGAAAUUCCGGAACAAGAUGGUGGACUACCUCACCGACUGGGUCAUGGGCAACUCUCACCAGAUUGCCCCCUCCGGCACCAUUGACGUGGCCUCUGUGUCUAACAUGUACAUGCAGUACGACAUCACUGGGUGCUGCCGCGACCUGGACCAGGCGUGCAUGGAGGCGGUGGCGGCGCUGCUGAGGGGCCUGCCGCUGCAGCCUGAGGAGAGCGACCGUGGCGACCUGAUGGAGGCGAAGUCGCAGCUGUUCCUCAAGUACUUCACACUCUUCAUGAACCUCCUCAACGACUGCAUGGAGGCACAGGAGGUUGAGAAGGAUGUGAGCAGACAGCGGGUACAGCCAGGCAAGCUUUCAACACUCCGCAACGCUACAAUACAGGCCAUGUCCAACCUUCUCUCGGCCAACAUCGACUCUGGCCUCAUGCAUUCCAUCGGCCUGGGGUACCACAAGGACCUCCAGACCCGUGCAGCCUUCAUAGAGGUGCUGACCAAAAUCCUGCAGCAGGGCACAGAGUUUGACACGUUGGCAGAGACGGUGCUGGCAGACCGAUACGAGCAAUUGGUGCAGCUGGUGACCAUGAUUGGCGACAAGGGGGAGCUGCCAAUCGCCAUGGCCCUCGCCUCGGUGGUGGUGACGCCCCAGAUGGAUGAGUUGGCACGAGUGUUUGUGACUCUGUUCGACGCCAAGCACCUGCUGUCGCCUCUGCUGUGGAAUAUGUUCUACAAGGAGGUGGAAGUGUCGGACUGCAUGCAGACUCUAUUCAGGGGGAACUCUCUCGGCAGCAAGAUUAUGUCAUUCUGCUUUAAGAUCUACGGAGCGUCCUACCUCCACAACCUGCUGCAGCCCCUGAUCCGCCCGCUGGUGGUGGACUGCCCCCACUGCUUUGAGGUGGACCCAGCCCGCCUCGACCCCUCAGAGGAUGUGGAGGAGAACCGAAGAAACUUGAUUGCCCUGACCCAGAGAGUGUUCAGCGCCAUCGUGUGCUCCUCUGAGAAGUUUCCGCCGCAGCUAAGAAGCAUGUGUCACUGUCUGUACCAAGUGUUGAGCAAGAGGUUUCCGCAGUUUCCCCAGAACAACAUUGGUGCUGUUGGAACGGUCAUCUUCCUGCGCUUCAUCAACCCUGCUAUUGUGAGCCCCUGUGAGACCGGGAUCCUGGAGCAGCAGCCUAGUGGCCAGAUCAAGCGUGGCCUGAUGCUGAUGUCCAAGAUCCUACAGAACAUUGCGAACCACGUGGAAUUUAGCAAAGAACAGCAUAUGUUUCCGUUUAACGACUUUGUCCGUCAGCACUUCGAGGCGGCGCGGCGGUUCUUCAUCCAGAUAGCGAGCGACUGCGAGAGUGUGGAGCAGGCUAGUCACAGCAUCUCAUUCAUAAGUGACGCUAAUGUACACGCCCUCCAUCGCCUCCUGUGGAACCACCAGGAGAAGAUCGGUGAGUACCUUUCCAGCAGCCGUGACCACAAGGCAGUUGGUCGUCGCCCCUUUGACAAGAUGGCUACCCUCCUGGCUUAUCUCGGCCCCCCAGAACACAAGCCCAUCGACUCGCAGUGGAGCAGCAUGGACAUGACCAGCACCAAGUUUGAGGAGAUAAUGUCCAAACACAACAUGCACGAGAAGGAUGAAUUUAAGUCCAUCAAGACGCUCAACAUCUUCUACCAGGCUGGCACAUCCAAAGCUGGCAACCCUGUCUUCUAUUACAUUGCCAGGAGAUACAAAAUCGGGGAGACAAAUGGAGACCUUUUGAUCUACCAUGUUAUUCUCACACUGAAGCCGAUAUGCAGGAAGCCCUUCGAACUUGUGGUGGACUUCACACACACCUGUGCCGACAACAGAUUCAGGACGGAGUUUCUGCAGAAGUGGUUUGUGGUCCUCCCAGAAGUGGCGUACGAAAAUAUUCAUGCUGCUUACAUCUACAACGCCAAUUCCUGGGUGAGGGAGUACACCAAGUACCACGACCGCAUCCUGGCGCCCCUCAAGGGGCACAAGAAGUUGAUAUUCCUUGACGCACCAGCGAGACUAAACGACUAUAUAGAACCUGACCAACAGAAGCUGCCAGGCGCCACCACCUCCCUUGACGAGGACCUCAAGGUGUUUAACAAUGCCCUCAAACUCUCCCACAAGGACACAAAAGUUGCUAUCAAGGUGGGCCCGUCAGCCAUCCAGGUGACGUCGGCAGAGAAGACGAAGGUUCUUUCUCAUUCUGUUUUGCUAAAUGAUGUGUAUUAUGCUUCAGAAAUUGAGGAGGUGUGCCUCGUAGACGACAACCAGUUCACCCUGACCAUCGCCAACGAGUCUGGGCCUCUUUCGUUCAUCCAUAACGACUGUGACAGCAUCGUUCAGGCCAUCAUUCACAUCCGGGCCAGAUGGGAACUCUCACAACCAGAUUCAGUGACAGUACACCAGAAGAUUAGACCCAAGGACGUCCCUGGCACCCUGCUGAACAUGGCCCUUCUCAACCUCGGCUCCCUUGACCCUAACUUAAGGACAGCUGCCUACAACCUGCUGUGUGCCCUCACCGCGACCUUUGACCUCAAGAUAGAAGGACAGCUGCUGGAGACGUCAGGCCUCUGCAUCCCUUCAAACAACACAAUAUUUAUCAAGAGUGUGAGUGAGAAGCUUGCAGUAAAUGAGCCGCACCUUACCCUGGAGUUCCUGGAGGAGUGUAUUCAAGGAUUCCGUGCCUCAUCGAUAGAACUGAAGCACUUGUGUCUGGAGUACAUGACCCCCUGGCUGCCCAACUUGACCAGGUUCUGCAGUCAUCCAGACGACAAGAAGAGAGCAAAAGUAGCGAUGAUUCUCGACAAGCUGAUUACUCUAACGAUUGAAGAGGUUGAGAUGUACCCCUCCAUCCAGGCCAAGAUCUGGGGCAACAUUGGUCAGGUCUCUGAGUUGAUAGACAUGGUUCUGGACUCGUUCAUUAAGCGAUCGGUGACAGGAGGGCUGGGGUCGGGUCAGGCAGAAAUCAUGGCCGACACAGCUGUGGCCCUCGCCUCUGCCAACGUGGCGUCUGUGGCCAAGAAGGUCAUCGGCAGGCUGUGCAGGGUCAUCGACAAGACUUGCACCUCACCGACACAAACACUGGAGCAACACCUUAUGUGGGACGACAUCGCAAUUCUGGCGCGGUACCUCCUCAUGCUGUCCUUCAAUAAUUGUCUGGACGUCGCUCGGCACCUGCCCUACCUCUUCCACAUCAUCACGUUCUUGGUCUGUACUGGUCCGGUCUCCAUGCGCGCCUCCACCCACGGCUUGGUGAUCAAUAUUAUUCACUCUCUCUGCACCUGUACCAAGCCCACGUUUCUGGAGGACACCCAGCGCGUACUAAGGCUCUCUCUCGACGAAUUUUCCCUGCCAAAAUUCUACCUUCUGUUUGGGAUCAGUAAGGUCAAGUCUGCUGCCGUUACUGCCUUCAGGUCAUCCUACCGUCACACCGGGGAGAGGGGGCUCAGAUUCGGAACAGACCGUAACCUGUCCUACAACAUGGCCGACAGAGAGAAGCUAUCCCUGACCUCUUUGGAGACCAUUACGGACGCCCUGCUGGAGAUGAUGGAAGCUUGCAUGCGCGACAUACCGGAAUGUGAUUGGCUACAGGUGUGGACAGGACUGGCUAAGAAUUUUGCCUUCCAGUACAACCCUGCACUCCAGCCCCGCGCCCUCAUUGUGUUUGGGUGUAUCAGCAAGAGCAUUGUGGACCUAGACAUCAAGCAGCUGUUGAGGAUCCUGGUGAAGGCAUUGGAGAGCUUCACUGACAUCACCCUCAUUGACUCCAUCAUUAUGUGCCUCACCAGACUCCAGCCCCUGCUCAGACCGGAGUCCCCCAUCCACCAGGCACUGUUCUGGGUGGCUGUGUCAGUGCUGCAGCUGGACGAGGUGGCCCUGUAUGCAUCCGGCCUGGCACUGCUUGAACAAAACCUGCACACACUUGACUCCCAGGGCAGCUUUGACUCGAAUACCAUAGAACAAGUCAUGAUGUCAACAAGAGUGUCCCUAGAAUGGUUCUUUAAACAGCUAGACCACUCGGUUGGCCUCAGCUUCAAAGGUAACUUCCAUUUUGCCAUCGUGGGUCACCUCCUGAAAGGGCUUCGUCACCCAGCACCUACCACUGUCUCUCGCACUUCUCGGGUUCUGGUAACACUGCUGUCCAUUGUUGCCAAGCCUCACAAGAGAGAUAAAUUUGAGGUGACCCCAGAGAGUGUGGCGUACCUAGCAGCCCUGGUGUCAGUGUCGGAGGAGGUCAGGUCGCGGUGUCACCUCAAGUACUCGGUGGCUCGGAAUCUGUCGAAAUCUGCGUCUUCAGAUACUUUUGCUGUCAGUCUGCACUUGAACCUCACAGGGAACACGACAUCCGCUGGACAGGUUGGGGGCGGCAUGGGUGGAGUUGCUGCCCCCACCGCCCCCCAGCAGACCACCGGAGUAGG